AAAUAUAAUAGUAUAUUGAGAAAUAAUAUAGAUUCACACUAGUGAAAUGUACAUCUAUUUCCUAUUUAAAUAGGUCUACAUUCCCUAACUCUAUCUUAAUAUAUUAAGAUUUUAUUUAUGUAAUAGUUGGCAGCAUAUUAUAACUCAUUAUAUUUAUUUUAACCAACAAAAUCCAUCUGGCAACAAUUGGCUGCCUAGGAGCUGUUGCUAUCAUCAUUCAAACAUGGCGGCCGUAUGUAAAUCCGCCAGCGAAAACAUGAUCAUACCCUCGAUUCAUUAUUCAAACUCAGAAAUGCCAACAAAAGGUUAGAUCUAUAUGUUUGGAAAGAAAAAAACGUUACUGUAAGCCCAGAGGAAGACAUGCUUCAAAGACAAAUGCAUAAUUACAAAGCUCUGUUUUGGAUACAGCUGGAUCUGAAGCAGCAACAACGCAGCCUGCAAGUGCAGCUGAACGAAAAAUAAUUCUAACUGCAAUUACUAACGCUGAUAACACCAAUAAGAGGCUGCCUGAAGAUUUCAUAUACGUCAUGAUGAAUUCAAUGGAAUUGACCACAAUGGUCUCCUUGUUGUGCUGUCCACAUUGCUUCGACAAAAAAUUAACCAUGUGCAUCACACAAUCAAAAGGCAUGGUUCAUUUGAUUAAAAUCAAAUGCCUAAAUUGUGAAACAUAUUUGUGGCCUGACUGGACCUCAAAAAAAAGUAAUAAUGUUCAUCUGGAUAUUAAUGUCCGCGCUGUCGCUGCAUUAAAAGAAUCUGGAAUCUCGCAUUCUAAAUUUGAUAGGUUUUGUGGACUUAUGAGUAUGCCCUGCAUGCACAGAAAUACUUAUAACAAUCUAGCUAACAUAGUCAACACUGCUAUAAUUGAAGCUGGUGAAGAAUGUAUGAUUAGGGCAUCUGCUGUUGUGCAUGGAAGAAACAUUUCACAACCUCUGACUACAGAUGAUAGAAUAAGUUCAACAGGCUGUCCUGUUAUUACAGUUUCUUUUGAUGGGACUUGGCAUAAAAGGGGCCACUCAUCUCAUUCAGGAAUUGGCAGUUAUUGAUUUUGAUACUGGACUCGCCAUCGACACCGAAGUCCUAUCAAAUUAUUGCUGUGUUUGUGUUUCAAACUCUGCAGAACUAAAUUUUGAUGCCUCUAAGCAUAUGUGUCAAAAAAACUUCAGUGGCUCAGCAAAUGCAAUGGAGGCCGCAGCAGCAUCCAAAAUUUGUUCUCACUCUGUGGCAUCAGAAAACUUGUUUAUGGCAUGAUGCUGUGUGAUGGUGAUAGUAAAUCACAUUCAUCUGCCAUUACCAGCUCAGGAUAUGAUGUAGAAAUCUUAAAAGAGGACUGCAUUAACCACAUCUCAAAAAGAAUGUUUAAUGCUUUGAACAAUUUAAAAAUGUCUAACAAAAAAGAACUAAAUUAUAGGCUUACAAAGCCAAAAAUUGAAAAAAUUACAAAUAACUAUUCCAAAGUUCUGCGCCAAAAUGCUCCUGACAUUCAAAAAAAUGAAGCUGGCUGUUAUGGGCUCAUUUUUUUAUAUGAUGAGCUCAGACCUAGAUCAUAACCACAGGUUGUGUCCUGAUGGCACUACAUCUUGGUGUCACACUUUAAGAGAUCAGAGGCACUAAAACAGCCAUACAAAAAACAUAAUCAGACCAUCACAUCAGAAAUAGGAAAACUGUUAUUUCCUAUAACAGACACAGAUCUGUUAAAAACAUGUUCAAGAAUGGGAACACAAAACGCCAAUGAAUCUUUUCAUUCCCUAAUUUGGCAAAGAUGCCCCAAAACAGAAUUCGCAACAUUAAAAACUAAGGACGGCGACAUACCUUGCUGUUUUAGCCUGUUGGCAUCAGUUUUUGACAUAUUAGGCGUUCCCUGGACACUAAAGAACAUUUCUUCUAGUGAGAAAAAGCAAAAUGUCAAACUACAGCUUGUUGUUAGAAAAAAAAGAUCAAUCACAUAAGUGUCCAGGAGAAAAAAAUUGAAAAAAUGAAGAAUUGAGCAUGAGCACCGGGCAGAGGUUCUCGAAGGUCCAACCUAUCAAUCAGGCCAUUUUAAUGAAUAGUUUUUUUAUUAUCUAUUAUGUUAUAUUAUGUAAAUAUUCCCCUUUUUUUUUUCAUUUUUAUGGUUGCAAUAAAUAUUUUAUAUCAUUUUAAAAACUUUAAAUGCGUUUUUCUCAAAAUGUAUUUUUAGGUGCAUGUUGUCCACAAGAAUCUCAAAAUCUUUAGUUCUGUAUAAUUUAGACUAAUAAUUUUUCACAUGUAGUUUAUUGAUAGUAUAUCAUAGGUAAUAGGCUGCAAAAAUUUUCAAAAUGUUUAAUUUUCAUAAAAAAAGAAAAAUAAUGAUGUGACCGCAGGUGAAAAAUGUGGUCGAAAAAAAAUAAAAAUUUUAAAAAUUCAUUUUGAGGUUAUGAUGCGACAAAAUGUAUUUAACCCAUAUACAUUUUUUUUUAGUAUACACUUCUUUCACUACAUCUUUAAUUAGGUGAUUUAAUGGCUGAAGGUUACAACCCAUGACUUCUGAACCUGGUAAAGACAAGGGCUUUGAGAUUCAGAAUAUUUAUGAUACCUCUAAGUCCACCAAACUCUAAUGGGUACUAAAAAUUAGAGUGUGGUAUCAGCCAGGAUAACCAACUACUUAGUAGGCUAAAGUUUAUAUUAUUGAUUAACAUGCAUGGCUAGAUUCAGUGGCGUCACUAGGGUCGGUGUCACCCAGUGCGGUAGGCUCAGGCCCCCCCCCCCCAAAGGAAAACGGAAUCUCUCCCUAAAAAUAAACAACUAUUGUGGGGUUUUUUUGUUUCUUAAAAUUGAACAAUAAAACUGUAAGCUAAAUUAUUGAUUUGUUACACCCGAAUUUAGGCAGUGUUAUCACGGAUUGGAAAGCAGGAGCCAUCUUUCAAAAAGCACGGCCAAUUUGAACAAACAAAUCAAUUAGCUUGGAGAUGAAAUCCACCUACUCAAAACAAUCAUUGUCCCAACGCCACCUUGAAAAAAGACUGAGCAGUGACGGCUGAGAAGGAUCAUUUGAAUAACAUACCGAGAUAAUGCUACCAAUAGAGAAAUAUUUUCCAUAUCAUUAGUGUCAAUGUGUAAUGCUGAGUUCUUGCUUCCUGAAGUACUCUAGACACGUGACAAGACGAAUAUUAUAAACUGACUGAAGCUCGUUUCAGCAGACAAACAUGAAGUUUAUUUUACUACAAUAAUAAUGAACUGCACUCCUUGUUAGUGCUACAAGUCAAGAAAUAAUAAUCCUAUCCGCAUAGCAGCGGUAUCAAAUGUAUCAAUCACGUCCGCAUCUCAGCGGGUAACAAUAAGAACAAUUACUACUAGUGACACUGGAGCUUCAACUAUAGAUAUCCAUUGAAAUACGAAUAAUACCUUAAUAUUCAAUAAGCACAUAAUGAAAUCAACUCUCAAAUAUUAUUAAUCAACAAUCAUCAGUCCAUCGACUUUCAUCCUAUAUACAUAUAUAUACACCAGUCCAGGAAGCAACGUCCAACCUUCCUGGACCGGGAGCAAAACCUUACUGACUUGACUUGACUUGACUGAACUCCAUAAAAGUCAACUUUAUUCAUUCUACUUCCUGUUUUCUACAUCAGGAAUUCCACGUGUCUUUUAAACUCUUAACAUGACGUGAACUUUAGAUCAUGCAAUGUCAACUAAGACUGUGACAAUUAGACAAGACGAAACAUGUUUACUUAAGUCAUCCUUAACACGAAAGCCGAAAAGAGGAGCGCAAAAACAUGCCGUCAACGUUUAAUCAUGGUGUCACACCGAUUCAAGAGGAAAGUGUAACGGACUUAGGUUAGUUCUUUGAGGGGCUAUUUAAAUGCCCCAAUUGUAUAUUGUCAAGAGAGGGGUGUGUAAAAAGUGAAAUUGUGUGUGUGUGUGUUUGUUUAUUUUAUUAGUUGAGUUGUAGAUUGUUUUUAGCACGGGGUUUUUCAAGGGGGGGGGGGGACAAUAAAGUUUCCUGUGGUCCGUCUAGUCAGAAAGCUGACCUUGUCUGAGUAGGGUGUUGGUGAUUGUUUUUCGGUUAUUAUGCCUAGAGUAAGGAGAUGUUAUAUUAUUAUUCUUGCUAUGUGUGCGUACUGAAUAUUUGGGGUAAUGCUAUGAUGUGUCAUGAUACCCUUAUGUAAUAUAUUAUAUUAUAUAUUAUAUUGUUUGCAGUAAAUAAAUACUAAUUUUCUA